rnacentral:lncRNA from 1 species
CCGAGAAGAUUGCCGAAAGUGACCAGAAAGUUGCUGGUUGACAAAGUUGGAUGGAAAGUUCCUGAAAAAUAAUCUGGAAGUAGUGAAGGGAGGUCUAAAGGCUCAGUCGAGUUCCAAAGUGCAAAUAGAAGUUUUGAAUAGCUGUAGAGAAGCACGAACUUGGUCGGAAAAAUCAGACAAAACACUAGAAUAGGUUACUGGAG